ACGCACGUGUGAAACUUGAAGGAAUUGACGGAAGGGCACCACAAGACGCGUGGAGCGUGUGGCUUAAUUCGACUCAACGCGGGAAAUCUUACCGGGUCCGGACGUGCUGAGGAUUGACAGGUUUUGUGUAAGUGCACACAUGUCUCUUUUUUGAGAUAUGUUGUGUCUUGCACUCAAAGAUGCUAGUCCUUUCAUGAUUGUGCGAUAGGUGGUGCAUGGCCGUUCUUAGUUCGUGGAGUGAUCUGUCUGCUUAAUUGCGUUUCAUAAAAUGGUCAUCUAUCACGCCAUUGUUUGUGUACCAAUGCUGCGUUCAUCUGUGUUGAUCGAAAGUGAUCACAGGUUUGUUAACGCCGUUGGGUUUUGUCGCGAACAUGGCGAGUUGACCUGGAAAGCAACGAACGUGACCG
rnacentral:rRNA from 1 species